AACCCAUGAUGUGGACAUUUACGUAAAAGCUCCUAAAAAUGCUCCCAAACUUCAUAUAAAAACUCCCCGUCCUAUUGAGAAAAUCCAGUUAUAUCCAUAUGGAGUUU